rnacentral:rRNA from 1 species
UACGGAGGGUGCAAGCGUUAUCCGGAUUCACUGGGUUUAAAGGGCUUGUAGGUGGCCAACUAAGUCAGACGUGAAAUCCCUCGGCUUAACCGGGGAACUGCGUCUGAUACUGGAUGGCUAGAGUUUGGGAGAGGGAUGCGGAAUUCCAGGUGUAGCGGUGAAAUGCGUAGAUAUCUGGAGGAACACCGGUGGCGAAGGCGGCAUCCUGGACCAACACUGACACUGAAAAGCGAAAGCCAGGGGAGCAAACGGG